UUUAGGUGGCCAUGGCGACGGGGCCCACCCCUUACCAUCUCGAACAGGGAAGUUAAGCCCGUCUGCGCCGAUGGUACUGCUAUACCAAGUGGGAGAGUAGGCCGCCGCCUUUU
rnacentral:rRNA from 1 species